rnacentral:rRNA from 1 species
UACGUAGGUGGCAAGCGUUAUCCGGAAUUAUUGGGCGUAAAGAGCGCGCAGGUGGUUAAUUAAGUCUGAUGUGAAAGCCCACGGCUUAGCCGUGGAGGGUCAUUGGAAACUGGUUGACUUGAGUGCAGAAGAGGGAAGUGGAAUUCCAUGUGUAGCGGUGAAAUGCGUAGAGAUAUGGAGGAACACCAGUGGCGAAGGCGGCUUCCUGGUCUGCAACUGACACUGAGGCGCGAAAGCGUGGGGAGCAAACAGG